rnacentral:pre_miRNA from 1 species
GGGGAGGCCGGAUCCUGGGCUGUGUCCCAGCGCCCUGUGCUCCCGGGGCCUGCGCUGUUGGAUUCACGCUCCCGCCCCGCAGCCCCCU